GGUCCGCUGGCUCAAUGGCAGAGCGUCUGACUACGACUUGAAAGAAGUUAUCAGGAGGUUCCAGGUUCGACCCCUGGGUGGAUCG
rnacentral:tRNA from 1 species